CUCAAAUAAGAAAAGGAAACAAUCGAAAUUUCCUUUUUUCAUCAAACAAACGUUACUUAUAAAUACACCCAUUCUCUCUUGUUCUUCGAAACCCUAAUCCAGAAAUAACAAAAUUCAUCUUUUUCUUUCUCUAGUUCUCUUCUAGAACUAUGAAGUAAACCGUAAGAUUGACUUCAUCCGUAAGAUUGAUCGGAGCAGAGAAAGCAUAUCUUUUCGUGAAUUAUCUCCAUCCUCUGUUGUGAAUACAUCUUAAGUCAAUCCAGAUCGAUUUCAUGUCUCAAAGUCUCCCAUAAUUUCACUCGAUCAACGAUCUCGGCGGUGGAUUCUGACGAGGACGGCGAAGGAGAACAAGACGACGAAGGAUGCGAAAGCGGAAAAGAGGAUAUCUAGAAGACAUGGACAGUGAAAGCGACUAGCGAGUAGAGAACCAAAUCAUGAUAUGUGUUUGGUUCUGUUCCCAUGUCCUCCGUCCGUCCGGCGACAUCAUCUGAAAAUCUUGUGUUUCGUCAAUCACAAGCAAAG
rnacentral:misc_RNA from 1 species